rnacentral:rRNA from 1 species
UACGUAGGGGGCGAGCGUUGUCCGGAUUUAUUGGGCGUAAAGAGCGUGUAGGCGGCCAGGUAGGUUUGCUGUGAAAACUCGAGGCUCAACCUCGAGACGUCGGCGGAAACCAUCUGGCUAGAGUCCGGAAGAGGAGAGUGGAAUUCCUGGUGUAGCGGUGAAAUGCGCAGAUAUCAGGAAGAACACCCGUGGCGAAGGCGGCUCUCUGGGACGGUACUGACGCUGAGACGCGAAAGCGUGGGGAGCGAACAGG